ACGACGUUCGCGUGUUCUCUUGGGUCACUCAAAACCGACAAUAAAACCGACAGAUUAACUCCUACUGUUGCACCGUUUAAAAAGAAGAGGCUCAGAGAUCUUCUCGGAGGCCUUGGAGUAAAGAAAGUGCGUGACCCAUCAUGUACCCGCUGAGGCAGGAGACAAAGGGAAGAGAUGACACUGGCAAGCCACUGAUGGAG